GACGAACGCUGGCGGCGUGCCUAAUACAUGCAAGUUGAGCGAUGAAGAUUGGUGCUUGCACCAAUUUGAAGAGCAGCGAACGGGUGAGUAACGCGUGGGGAAUCUGCCUUUGAGCGGGGGACAACAUUUGGAAACGAAUGCUAAUACCGCAUAACAACUUUAAACAUAAGUUUUAAGUUUGAAAGAUGCAAUUGCAUCACUCAAAGAUGAUCCCGCGUUGUAUUAGCUAGUUGGUGAGGUAAAGGCUCACCAAGGCGAUGAUACAUAGCCGACCUUAGAGGAUGAUCGUCCAAAUUGGGACUAAGACGCGGCCCAAACUCCGACGUGAGGCGGCGGUAGGGAUUCUUGGGAAAUAGGCGAAGGUCUGACCGAGCAACUACACGUGUGUGAAGAAGGUUUUCGGAUCGUAAGACACUAUUAAUAGAGAAAAGCGUUGGUGAGAGUAAAAAGCUCAUGAAGUAGCGGUAACUAACCAGAAAGGGACGGCUAACUACGUG
rnacentral:rRNA from 1 species